CUUGGUACUCCAAUGGCAUCGAUAUAUAUGUGUGGGUCGAAACUACCUCGAAUGGGGGUUUCUCUUUUUACUCUAAGAUACGUGUGUGGUGAAUCGUGUGGGCCUUGGUGGUUAUCAGAAAUUAUAUGCAUGGGCAUGAUAACUUUGGUCAGAGUACAUUCUCCCCACCACAGGCCAGUCAUUUUUAAUCUGAGCUGCAUGUC